CUUAAUGGACUAAGAGUAUCCUAUACAUUUCUAGUGUGAUGGGUCAUUAUGAUAAUUACAGCCAACAUUGCUAUCAUAAAUUUCACGACGAGGCAUAUAAUGAAGAAAAUGACAUAACUGAGCAUAUUUUUCUCUUUUGACAUCAGAGGAAGAACAUGUCCAGCUUAGAGAUGUGCCAGAACUAGAGUAUUCUCAGCAGGCUUGCCUUGCAGAUAGAGUUGAAGAAUAGGUCGAAGUUCAAUAUCUCGUUUUAUUUGAUGAUCCUAGUUGUUUUUGUAGUCUUUUCUCUUCUAUUCUGUUGAACAAUGUAUUUCAUAUUUCUUCAGUAUUCAUUUGUUCAGAUAUGUAUAAGGGUGUGUUGACCUGAAUACUUUAUG